AUCUUUUUAAUUUUUAAAAGACCUUUUUCGAAAGGUAUACUUAAAGAGGGGCUUGCGCCACAUUAGUUAGUUGGUAAGGUAAAGGCUUACCAAGACGAUGAUGUGUAGCUGGACUGAGAGGUCGAACAGCCACAUUGGGACUGAGACACGGCCCAAACUCCUACGGGAGGCAGCAGUAAGGAAUUUUUGGCAAUGGAGGAAACUCUGACCGAGCGACGUCGCGUGAACAAUGAAGUACUUCGGUAUGUAAAGUUCUUUUAUUGAAAAAGAAAAAAUAGUGGAAAAACUAUCUUGACAUUAUUCAAUGAAUAAGCCCCGGCUAAUUAUGUGCCAGCAGCCGCGGUAAUACAUAAGGGGCGAGCGUUAUCCGGAAUUAUUGGGCGUAAAGGGUGCGUAGGCGGUUUGAUAAGUCUAUAGUUUAAAUGCAGUGCUUAACGCUGUAGCGCUAUAGAAACUGUCUGACUAGAGUUAGAUAGAGGCAAGCGGAAUUCCAUGUGUAGCGGUAAAAUGCGUAAAUAUAUGGAGGAACACCAGAGGCGUAGGCGGCUUGCUGGGUCUUAACUGACGCUGAGGCACGAAAGCGUGGGGAGCAAACAGGAUUAGAUACCCUGGUAGUCCACGCCGUAAACGAUGAGUACUAAGUGUCGGGUUUCGGCUCGGUACUGAAGUUAACACAUUAAGUACUCCGCCUGAGUAGUACGUACGCAAGUAUGAAACUUAAAGGAAUUGACGGGACCCCGCACAAGCGGUGGAUCAUGUUGUUUAAUUCGAAGAUACACGAAAAACCUUACCAGGUCUUGACAUAAUUUUGCGACAUUAUAGAAAUAUAAUGAAGGUUAUCAGAAUUACAGGUGGUGCAUGGUUGUCGUCAGCUCGUGUCGUGAGAUGUUAGGUUAAGUCCUAAAACGAGCGCAACCCUUGUCGUUAGUUGCGACCACGUAAUGGUGAGCACUUUAGCGAGACUGCCAAUGAAAAAUUGGAGGAAGGUGAGGAUUACGUCAAAUCAUCAUGCCCCUUAUGAUCUGGGCUACAAACGUGAUACAAUGGCUGUUACAAAGAGUAGCUACAACGUGAGUUUUUAGCCAAUCUCAAAAAAACAGUCUCAGUUCGGAUUGAAGUCUGCAACUCGACUUCAUGAAGUUGGAAUCGCUAGUAAUCGCGAAUCAGCAUGUCGCGAU
rnacentral:rRNA from 1 species